GGGGCCAUAGCUCAGUUGGAAGAGCGCAACACUGGCAGUGUUGAGGUCAGGGGUUCGAAUCCCCUUGGCUCCA
rnacentral:tRNA from 1 species